GGGAUCUGUGCUUUAGAAAAUGUCGAUCAGAAUUUUUUAUUUUUAUUUUAAAACAUCCAGAAAUCUGCACAACGUGCAAAUAGUGUUUCUAAAAACUACAGUUUAUUGAAUGUUCUAAAGAAGACGUAAUCAAAAGACUCCAUCUGGCUGGUGGCUUAUUGAAAGUCAUUAUCCGAGAUAAUAUCCAAGGUUACUGCUUAAAAUAUGAAUGAGGCGGCAUGUAACGCUCAACGUGGCGGCUGUAUGGAUCACGUUAAGUCCGUCCCACGGUGAAAGAUUCAGUUGCUUAUUUUAAUGUAAUAUUAACUUAGGUUAAUGAACAGAUAUAAAGCAGUUUGCUCUGUUAAGCACUCACACAUCAUACAAUGCUUCUUUGGUGUAAAUUUCUAUCAGUGGUCAUAGAAUGUGUAAAGCAGUGGUUCUUAAGGUUUUUGCAAGUGCGACUCACCCAUUUCAAAUCCAUAGCUGCAUCCAACUAUCUCUACUACCCUACUAAAGUAGUACACCAAAGGAACCAAUGGACACUGCGCUAUCCCAUAAGGCAGGGAGUGGCGCGGAAGAGCUGUCAGAAUCCGAAAUGUCGGAAGGCAGCGCGUCAGCUCUUUUUAACUGUAAGUGCUAUAGGUAUAUAAAUUUUGUUCCUUGUGGUUAAACCGUACUUGUUUAACAACACCUAAGUAAAUUGUUGAAGAUUUGAACAAGGAAAAAGCAGGUGCUCUAAUCUAAUCUUGCAGGCUCUUUUAAAUGUGUGCAGAUAUUAUGAUGUCAUAGGUCACAUGACAAUGCCAACAUGGCGGAUGUCCGUACGUCCGGAUUGUAUUCAUGCUACACAUACGUAUACUGAUCAUUACGUGCUGUCUCAACGGCCAAGCAGUAGUAGGAACAGUAUUUCAAAUGCUAAAGUGCAUUAUUACGUAAUCAAUAUCUUUUUCAUACAUAACUCGGUCAGUGGGAGGCCACAUUAAGAUUUCCAGAUUGAAAUUCAGAUCGAAAAGGUUCUCAGCCCAGAGACCUAAAGAUGGGUCCUUGAUGGGUCCAAGGCUCUGAACCAAGUGCUUAGCUUUAUGCUUGGACAGAUGGUCUGACAUUUUCUUUUAGAGCUCACUGGUAUAAUUCAGAAUUUAUUGUUCCAUCAAUGAUGGCAAGCUGUCGAGGCCCAAAUGCAGCAAAAUGCAGUCCAAACAAGAUACUACCACCAGCAUGUUUCACAGAUGGGAUAAGGUUCUUAUAGUGGAAUCUAGUGUUUUUCUUUCUCCAAACAUAACGCUUCUCAUUUAAACUAAACAGUUGUAUUUUGGUCUCAUACACCCACUAAACGUUUUUCCAUUAGCCUUCUGGCUUGCCCACAUGAUUUUUAGCAAACUGCAGAUAGGCAACAAUGUUCUUUUCGGAGAGUGGUGGCUUCCUCCUUGCAACACUGCCAUGCACAACAUUGUUUUUCAGAGUUCUCCUGAUGGUGGACUCAUGACCAUUAACCAAUGUGAGAGGCCUUUAGUUGCUUAGACGUUGCCCUGGGCUCCUUUGUGAAUUCAUGGAGUAUUGCACAUCUUGCUCUUGGAGGGAUCUUAGUAGGUUGAGCACUCCUGUAGAGGGUAACAGUGGUGUUGAAUUUCCUCCAUUUGUACACACUGACUGUGGAUUGGUGGAGUCCAAACUCUUUAGAGAUGGUUUUGUAAGCUUUUUCAGCUUCAACAACUCUUUUUCUGAGAUCCUCAGAAAUCUUCUUUGUUCGUGCCCUGAUACACUUCCACAAACAUGAUCAGACUCUGAUAGAUCCCUGUUCUUUAAAUAAAACGGGGCUCUCACUCACACCUAUUUGUCAUCACAUUGAUUGAAAACACCGUACUCUAGUUUCACCUUCAAAAUGAACUGCUAAUCCAAGAGGUUCACAUACUUUUGCCACUCACAGAUAUGUAAUAUUGGAUCCUUUCCCUCAAUAAAUAAAUAAGCAAGUAUAACAAUUUUCUCAUUUGUUCAAUUGGGUUCUCUUUGUAUACUUUUUUGCACUUGUGUGAAAAUCUGA
ensembl:lncRNA